CCAGCAAGCUCGAGCUCUCUCUGCCCGAGAGAGAGAAACCCGACGACCCGCAAGGCAAUCCGGCCACAACUCCGGCGUCCGGCCACCGAUCGACGACACAAGACCACCAAUCUCUUCCUCUCGUCGUCGCCGACACGCCUGUGGCCUCAGAUCGUCCAUGCACCCGACGAGAAAGAAGAAUCAACGGUGAGAAUGUUCGACUGCUCCAGCGAGUUUCUGCACAUUCCGGCGACCGAUUGGGCUGUGUGUGGUCUAGGCGAGCUAUUUUGAAGUUUGUUGGGUUAUUGACACCAAGGUCACCAGUUCGUCAUCAGUCCAGUUCCAGUAAGGGAUUCCGGGAAGACCGAGUUGGUUUUUGAAGGUAUAUACAGCCCUUGAAUCACAUUUUCCCUUCUGGUGAUAAUUGGAAGUUAAGCAACUAUGAUAGUUGGUUGAGAUUAUAAUCUGAUAUUGUGAUCUUGAAUCGGAAAUUUGGUCGAAUUGUGUAGUUUUGGUGGUUUGAAGAUAUGUUUAAACUAGGAGGACAGAUUGGAUGAGUUGUAGUGUUUUGAUUUGAAUGGAGUGUGAUUAUCGUGUUUGAUGC